rnacentral:rRNA from 1 species
UCCAGGCCCUACGGGGUGCAGCAGGCGCGAAACCUCCGCAAUGUGAGAAAUCGCGACGGGGGGAUCCCAAGUGCCAUUCUUAACGGGAUGGCUUUUCAUUAGUGUAAAGAGCUUUUGGAAUAAGAGCUGGGCAAGACCGGUGCCAGCCGCCGCGGUAACACCGGCAGCUCUAGUGGUAGCAGUUUUUAUUGGGCCUAAAGCGUCCGUAGCCGGUUUAAUAAGUCUCUGGUGAAAUCCUGCAGCUUAACUGUGGGAAUUGCUGGAGAUACUAUUAGACUUGAGAUCGGGAGAGGUUAGAGGUACUCCCAGGGUAGAGGUGAAAUUCUGUAAUCCUGGGAGGACCGCCUGUUGCGAAGGCGUCUGACUGGAACGAUUCUGACGGUGAGGGACGAAAGCUAGGGGCGCGAACCGGAUUAGAUACCCGGGUAGUCCUAGCUGUAAACGAUGCGGACUUGGUGUUGGGGUGGCUUUGAGCUGUCCCAGUGCCGAAGGGAAGCUGUUAAGUCCGCCGCCUGGGAAGUACAGUCGCAAGACUGAAACUUAAAGGAAUUGGCGGGGGAGCACCACAACGCGUGGAGCCUGCGGUUUAAUUGGAGUCAACGCCGG